UGAGGAUGCUAAACGGUCGCAUGCAGGGUGCAUGAGGAAAGUCCGAGCGCCGCAGAGCAGGACGCAGGGUAACGCCCUGUGGAGGCGACUCCAAGGAAAGUGCAACAGAAAUAAACCGCCAUAAUUAUGGUAAGGAUGGAAAGGCGAGGCAAGAGCUCACCCGGAACCCGGCGACGGGUUCUCGCUGUAAACCCCGUCCGGCGCAAGAUUGAAGGGGACGCAUACGGCUGCUCGCCGUGUCCCGAAAAUCGCUGGAGCCUCCCGGUAACGGUUGGCCUAGAUAGAUGACCGUUCAAGACAGAACUCGGCUUACCGGCAUCGCUCAAUAU
rnacentral:RNase_P_RNA from 1 species